rnacentral:rRNA from 1 species
AUUGAACGCUGGCGGCAGGCUUAACACAUGCAAGUCGAGCGGGGAAGGGUAGCUUGCUACCUAACCUAGCGGCGGACGGGUGAGUAAUGCUUAGGAAUCUGCCAUUUAGUGGGGGACAACAUUCCGAAAGGAAUGCUAAUACCGCAUACGUCCUACGGGAGAAAGCAGGGGAUCUUCGGACCUUGCGCUAAAUGAUGAGCCUAAGUCGGAUUAGCUAGUUGGUGGGGUAAAGGCCUACCAAGGCGACGAUCUGUAGCGGGUCUGAGAGGAUGAUCCGCCACACUGGGACUGAGACACGGCCCAGACUCCUACGGGAGGCAGCAGUGGGGAAUAUUGGACAAUGGGCGGAAGCCUGAUCCAGCCAUGCCGCGUGUGUGAAGAAGGCCUUAUGGUUGUAAAGCACUUUAAGCGAGGAGGAGGCUACCAGUAUUAAUACUACUGGAUAGUGGACGUUACUCGCAGAAUAAGCACCGGCUAACUCUGUGCCAGCAGCCGCCGCUGUAA